rnacentral:rRNA from 1 species
CAAGUAGUCAGAGCCCGUUAAUGGGUGAUGGCGUGCCUUUUGUAGAAUGAACCGGCGAGUUACGAUUUGAUGCAAGGUUAAGCAGUAAAUGUGGAGCCGUAGCGAAAGCGAGUCUGAAUAGGGCGUUUAGUAUUUGGUCGUAGACCCGAAACCAGGUGAUCUACCCUUGGUCAGGUUGAAGUUCAGGUAACACUGAAUGGAGGACCGAACCGACUUACGUUGAAAAGUGAGCGGAUGAACUGAGGGUAGCGGAGAAAUUCCAAUCGAACCUGGAGAUAGCUGGUUCUCUCCGAAAUAGCUUUAGGGCUAGCCUCAAGUGAUGAUUAUUGGAGGUAGAGCACUGUUUGGACGAGGGGCCCCUCUCGGGUUACCGAAUUCAGACAAACUCCGAAUGCCAAUUAAUUUAACUUGGGAGUCAGAACAUGGGUGAUAAGGUCCGUGUUCGAAAGGGAAACAGCCCAGACCACCAGCUAAGGUCCCAAAAUAUAUGUUAAGUGGAAAAGGAUGUGGCGUUGCCCAGACAACUAGGAUGUUGGCUUAGAAGCAGCCAUCAUUUAAAGAGUGCGUAAUAGCUCACUAGUCGAGUGACACUGCGCCGAAAAUGUACCGGGGCUAAACAUAUUACCGAAGCUGUGGAUUGUCCUUUGGACAAUGGUAGGAGAGCGUUCUAAGGGCGUUGAAGCAUGAUCGUAAGGACAUGUGGAGCGCUUAGAAGUGAGAAUGCCGGUGUGAGUAGCGAAAGACGGGUGAGAAUCCCGUCCACCGAUUGACUAAGGUUUCCAGAGGAAGGCUCGUCCGCUCUGGGUUAGUCGGGUCCUAAGCUGAGGCCGACAGGCGUAGGCGAUGGAUAACAGGUUGAUAUUCCUGUACCACCUAUAAUCGUUUUAAUCGAUGGGGGGACGCAGUAGGAUAGGCGAAGCGUGCGAUUGGAUUGCACGUCUAAGCAGUAAGGCUGAGUAUUAGGCAAAUCCGGUACUCGUUAAGGCUGAGCUGUGAUGGGGA